AUCAUUAUCAUUAUUAUUCGUCUUACAUUAUGAUAGCAUUAUGACAUCAUAGCAUUAUGAUGUUUAUGUGGGAGAGGGAAUAAAGCAACAGAACAUCUUCUUCUGACUCUUUUGUCCUUCCUCAUCAGAUACCUGCUGUUGCCAACUCCUGAUGCUUCAAAUGAUGACAGAAUUUCAGCAGAACACAGCAUGUUUGUAGAUGACAUCUGAACAUGAGAAAGGGAGGAUCUGUCUUUCCUAAAGGGUCAUUUAAGAUGGUUUUAGCCAUUGUGGUCUGUCUGCACAAACCUGGAAGGUAAUUUGUCCCUUGAAGCCUUUAGGGCAAAAUGCCCUCAUCCUCUACAUGCCUUAGUCUGAUUUCAUUUUGUAAAAAUUAAACCAGCUUCAGUAAAAAAUUGAAAAAAAAAAAAAAAAGAGAAAAUUUGUGCUUUCUUUCUCCCUAUUUAUGCUCUCUCCCCAAAGGGUUUACUACACAGCACACUGAAUAAUACUUCUUAGUCAUACUGUAAUGUGUAGGUCAUGAGUUUAAGUUGCAUUUUGUAACAUUGGAGUAAAAAUCUGAAUGCGCCAUCAUCCAAGGGAUCAAGUAGAAAAAAGGCUGGUGUCGAGGAAGGGCUUCAUUACAGACAUCCUCCUGUAAUUCUGACUUGCAUGUACUCUGAAAUCACUUGUUAGCAAACAUCAGAGGGUCAAAAACUCCUGUUUUGUAAGUCUGGCAGGAAUAAAGUAUGAGACAGCUGCUAAGCA
rnacentral:lncRNA from 1 species